rnacentral:rRNA from 1 species
CAGCCUGAUCAGCAUGCCGCGUGUGUGAAGAAGGCCUUCGGGUUGUAAAGCACUUUUGUCCGGAAAGAAAUCCUUGGCUCUAAUACAGUCGGGGGAUGACGGUACCGGAAGAAUAAGCACCGGCUAACUACGUGCCAGCAGCCGCGGUAAUACGUAGGGUGCGAGCGUUAAUCGGAAUUACUGGGCGUAAAGCGUGCGCAGGCGGUUUGCUAAGACCGAUGUGAAAUCCCCGGGCUCAACCUGGGAACUGCAUUGGUGACUGGCAGGCUAGAGUAUGGCAAAGGGGGGUAGAAUUCCACGUGUAGCAGUGAAAUGCGUAAAGAUGUGGAGGAAUACCGAUGGCGAAGGCAGCCCCCUGGGCCAAUACUGACGCUCAUGCACGAAAGCGUGGGGAGCAAACAGGAUUAAAUACCCUGGUAGUCCACGCCCUAAACGAUGUCAACUAGUUGUUGGGGAUUCAUUUCCUUAGUAACGUAGCUAACGCGUGAAGUUGACCGCCUGGGGAGUACGGUCGCAAGAUUAAAACUCAAUGAA